rnacentral:rRNA from 1 species
GACGAACGCUGGCGGCGUGCUUAACACAUGCAAGUCGAACGGAAAGGCCCUGCUUUUGUGGGGUGCUCGAGUGGCGAACGGGUGAGUAACACGUGAGUAACCUGCCCUUGACUUUGGGAUAACUUCAGGAAACUGGGGCUAAUACCGGAUAGGAGCUCCUGCUGCAUGGUGGGGGUUGGAAAGUUUCGGCGGUUGGGGAUGGACUCGCGGCUUAUCAGCUUGUUGGUGGGGUAGUGGCUUACCAAGGCUUUGACGGGUAGCCGGCCUGAGAGGGUGACCGGCCACAUUGGGACUGAGAUACGGCCCAGACUCCUACGGGAGGCAGCAGUGGGGAAUAUUGCACAAUGGGCGGAAGCCUGAUGCAGCAACGCCGCGUGCGGGAUGACGGCCUUCGGGUUGUAAACCGCUUUCGCCUGUGACGAAGCGUGAGUGACGGUAAUGGGUAAAGAAGCACCGGCUAACUACGUGCCAGCAGCCGCGGUGAUACGUAGGGUGCGAGCGUUGUCCGGAUUUAUUGGGCGUAAAGGGCUCGUAGGUGGUUGAUCGCGUCGGAAGUGUAAUCUUGGGGCUUAACCCUGAGCGUGCUUUCGAUACGGGUUGACUUGAGGAAGGUAGGGGAGAAUGGAAUUCCUGGUGGAGCGGUGGAAUGCGCAGAUAUCAGGAGGAACACCAGUGGCGAAGGCGGUCCUCUGGGCCUUUCCUGACGCUGAGGAGCGAAAGCGUGGGGAGCGAACAGGCUUAGAUACCCUGGUAGUCCACGCUGUAAACGGUGGGUACUAGGUGUGGGGUCCAUUCCACGGGUUCCGUGCCGUAGCUAACGCUUUAAGUACCCCGCCUGGGGAGUACGGCCGCAAGGCUAAAACUCAAAGGAAUUGACGGGGCCCCGCACAAGCGGCGGAGCAUGCGGAUUAAUUCGAUGCAACGCGUAGAACCUUACCUGGGUUUGACAUGGAUCGGGAGUGCUCAGAGAUGGGUGUGCCUCUUUUGGGGUCGGUUCACAGGUGGUGCAUGCCUGUCGUCAGCUCGUGUCGUGAGAUGUUGGGUUAAGUCCCGCAACGAGCGCAACCCUUGUUCACUGUUGCCAGCACGUUAUGGUGGGGACUCAGUGGAGACCGCCGGGGUCAACUCGGAGGAAGGUGGGGAUGACGUCAAGUCCUCAUGCCCCUUAUGUCCAGGGCUUCACGCAUGCUACAAUGGCUGGUACAGAGAGUGGCGAGCCUGUGAGGGUGAGCGAAUCUCGGAAAGCCGGUCUCAGUUCGGAUUGGGGUCUGCAACUCGACCUCAUGAAGUCGGAGUCGCUAGUAAUCGCAGAUCAGCAACGCUGCGGUGAAUACGUUCCCGGG